rnacentral:rRNA from 1 species
ACACAUGCAAGUCGAACGGGAUCCUUUCUAGCUUGCUAGGGGGGUGAGAGUGGCGAACGGGUGAGUAACGCGUGAUUAACCUGCCGUGUAGUUUGGAAUAGCUCCUGGAAACGGGUGGUAAUGCCGAAUGUUCCACAUGCUCGCAUGGGUGUGUGGGAAAACGUUUUAGUGCUAUGCGAUGGGAUYGCGUCCUAUCAGCUUGUUGGUGGGGUAGUGGCCUACCAAGGCUUCGACGGGUAGCCGGCCUGAGAGGGCGACCGGCCACAUUGGGACUGAGAUACGGCCCAGACUCCUACGGGAGGCAGCAGUGGGGAAUAUUGCACAAUGGGGGGAACCCUGAUGCAGCGACGCCGCGUGCGGGAUGACGGCCUUCGGGUUGUAAACCGCUUUUAUUGGGGAGCAAGCGUGAGUGAGUGUACCUUUUGAAUAAGCACCGGCUAACUACGUGCCAGCAGCCGCGGUAAUACGUAGGGUGCAAGCGUUGUCCGGAAUUAUUGGGCGUAAAGAGCUCGUAGGCGGUUUGUCGCGUCUGGUGUGAAAGUCCAUCGCUUAACGGUGGAUUGGCGCUGGGUACGGGCAGGCUAGAGUGUAGUAGGGGAGACUGGAAUUCUCGGUGUAACGGUGGAAUGUGUAGAUAUCGGGAAGAACACCAAUGGCGAAGGCAGGUCUCUGGGCUAUUACUGACGCUGAGGAGCGAAAGCGUGGGGAGCGAACAGGAUUAGAUACCCUGGUAGUCCACGCCGUAAACGGUGGAUGCUGGAUGUGGGGCCCUUUCCACGGG